GUGCUAUGAUGACAUGCAACUGUGGUUUCCUCAAACCGAUAAUUGAAUGAGGACAUUAAAUUCCUUGGCUGUGUCUGAGCAU
ensembl:snoRNA